rnacentral:rRNA from 1 species
AUUGAACGCUGGCGGCAGGCCUAACACAUGCACGUCGAACGAGUGGCGGACGGGUGAGUAAUGUCUGGGAAACUGCCCGAUGGAGGGGGAUAACUACUGGAAACGGUAGCUCAUACCGCAUACCAUCGGAUGUGCCCAGAUGGGAUUAGCUAGUAGGUGGGGUAACGGCUCACCUAGGCGACGAUCCCUAGCUGGUCUGAGAGGAUGCCCAGCCACACUGGAACGGAGAAACGGGCAAGAUUACUACGGGAGGCAGCAGUGGGGAAUAUUGCACAAUGGGCGCAAGCCUGAGGCAGCCAUGCCGCGUGUAUGAAGAAGGCCUUCGGGUUGUAAAGUACUUUCAGCGGGGAGGCGUUACCCGCAGAAGAAGCAGCGGCUAACUCCGUGCCAGCAGCCGCGGUAAUUC